UACGGGGGGGAGCAAGCGUUGUUCGGAUUUACUGGGCGUAAAGGGCGCGUAGGCGGCGCAACAAGUCACUUGUGAAAUCUCCGGGCUUAACCCGGAGCGGUCAAGUGAUACUGUCGUGCUAGAGUGCGGAAGGGGCUACUGGAAUUCUCGGUGUAGCGGUGAAAUGCGUAGAUAUCGAGAGGAACAUCAGUGGCGAAGGCGAGUCUCUGGACAGUUCCUGACACUGAGGCACGAAGGCCCAGGGGGAGCAAACAGG
rnacentral:rRNA from 1 species